UUUCUUCAUCAACAAUGGCCCUCCAACAAAUCGAUCAGAAGCUUUGCGUUUUCUGUCAAUAGCUGAGAAACUGUUAACAAAUCGUGACCUAGUUGGAAGCAAGUCAUUCGCAACCCGGGCUCGUGAUGCCGACCCGACAUUUGCACCUGCUACCGACCAAAUACUCGGCAUCGUUGAUACCUUGAACGCCGGCGACAAACGGAUAAACAAUCAUCACUUUGACUACUACUCUAUUCUACAGAUUCCUCAUAACCAAACCCAGAAUGUGGAUUUCAUCGCUGAGCAGUAUCGAAGGUUUGCGCUUUUACUAAACCCACAGAAUAACAGUUUUCCGUUUUCUGAUCAAGCUUUUCGUCUUGUUGUGGAUGCGUUUUCUGUUCUUUCUAACCCUAUGAGGAAAAGUAUGUAUGAUAAGGAGUUGGGUUUUUUUCUUAACCUUUACCCUAGAGGGAGAAGUUUAUGGAGCACAAUGCUAAUGCCAUUGCUGCUGGGAGGA
rnacentral:misc_RNA from 1 species